rnacentral:misc_RNA from 1 species
AACGCACCUUGCGCUCCUUGGUAUUCCGAGGAGCAUGCCUGUUUGAGUGUCAUUAAAUUCUCAAUCUCUACAACUUUGUGUUGUCUAGAUCGGAAGUGGGGGUUUAUUGUGUGGAAUCUAAUUCCUCACUCCCCUUAAAUGCAUUAGCUGGAAUGCCUCUGCAUAUCUGACUAUCAGUGUGAUAAUUAUCUAUGCUGUAGUUGUUGCAUGAGGGUAUCUGCUUCAUAAAUCGUCGCAAGACAAUUCUAUAUGACCAUCUUGACCUCAAAUCAGGUAGGACUACCCGCUGAACUUAA